UACGUAGGGUGCGAGCGUUAAUCGGAAUUACUGGGCGUAAAGCGUGCACAGGCGGUUUUGUAAGACAGGCGUGAAAUCCCCGAGCUCAACUUGGGAAUUGCGCUUGUGACUGCAAGGCUAGAGUGUGUCAGAGGGGGGUAGAAUUCCACGUGUAGCAGUGAAAUGCGUAGAGAUGUGGAGGAAUACCGAUGGCGAAGGCAGCCCCCUGGGACAUGACUGACGCUCAUGCACGAAAGCGUGGGGAGCAAACAGG
rnacentral:rRNA from 1 species